rnacentral:lncRNA from 1 species
CCAUGUCCCGGCAUCACAUUACCCCAUUACAGACCCCAUUCCAUCCCCCAUUACCCCAUUACGGACCCCAUUCCAUGCCCCAUUAUCCCAUCACCCCAUUAUGGACCCCAUUCCAAGUCCCAUUAUCCCAUUAUGGACCCCAUUCCAAGUCCCAUUAUCCCAUUACCCCAUUAUGGACCCCAUUCCAUCCCCCAUUAUCCCAUUACCCUAUUACAGACCCCAUUCCCUGUCCCAUCACCCCAUUAUGUCCCCUUUCCAUGCCCCAUUAUCCUAUUACCCCAUUAUGGACCCCAUUAUGACCCCUUUCCAUAUCCCAUGACCCCAUCACCCCNNNNNNNNNNNNNNNNNNNNNNNNNNNNNNNNNNNNNNNNCUUUUUUUUGGGGGGGGGGGGUUGACCCUUUUGCUUUGCAACCCUGGGUUGGUGGCUGCAGGAUUGGUGCUGGUGCAAAAUGGUGGUGCACGGUGCUGGUGCAAGGUGUGCGUGGUGCUGGUGCAAAAUGCUGGUGCAUGGUGCUGCUGUGUGCUGCUGCAAGGCGUGCAUGGUGUGCAUGGUGCUGCUGCAAGGUGUGCAUGGUGCUGGUGCAAAAUGCUGGUGCAUGGUGCUGCUGUGUGCAUGGUGCAUGGUGUACAUGGUGCUCCUGCAUGGUGCUGGUGCAAAAUGCUGGUGCACGGUGCUGCUGUGUGCUGCUGCAAGGCGUGCAUGGUGUGCAUGGUGCUGCUGCAAGGUGUGCAUGGUGCUGCUGCAAAAUGCUGGUGCAUGGUGCUGCGUGCUUCUGCAAGGUGUGCAUGUUGCUGGUGCAAAACGGUGGUGCACGGUGCUGCUGCAAGGUGUGCAUGGUGCUGGUACAAAAUGGUGGUGCAUGGUGCUGGUGCAAGGUGUGCACGGUGCUGCUGCAAGGUGUGCACGGUGCUGGUGCAGAAU